CACGCACAAAUGCAGGUCAGGCUGAGUAUCUUUGCUCUCAGCACUGCUCUAAAAAAAGCAUUUCUUACUUAUCAAACCGGGCUGCAUUCUUACUUAGGAACUUCUACUGCAAAAGUGCAGCUGGUCAGAAAUCUGGAUUUCAUGGGGGACGUUCCUGUGCUUUCCAGCUUCUGUUAUACGCUGGGGCAGGGAUGUUUCUAGCAUCGAAAGUUCUAAAGAGUUUUAAUUGAAGGACAUUUUUGUUUCAGUGUUAAGAUUCAGUUCAGUCCUCUAACCUGCUGUUCUUUCCAGAGAUGUCGCAAUAAGGAGCCUUCGUGCUGAGCAACAAACCCCCUGAGACCCUGCGGAGGGUUUGGCUUAGUGCUGGUUUGUGUUAAAGCACAAUCAGUUCAUGUUAAGCUUUCUAAUGAGAAAACGAGGAGGACAAAGAUUGGGUUGCAAAGCUGCUGGAGUGGUUGCCAAGUGGGGGAUAGGCAGCACCUCCAGAUUUCUCAGGAGAUUUUACUGCAGUGCUGGCAGCAGUGAGGGAAGAUUCAAAUAAGCAGCAGAAAGCAGUGCAAGAAAGUGUGCAAUUCUCACCAUGUGGCAUGCUUCCCCAGUUUCUGGACCCAAGAGUAGCAAACUUGAAGAGUUCUCCUGGACAGCAACGUGUCUGGUACAGAUGGGGAAAACCCUUCUGAGCCAUGGAGUGAAUUUACUGCGCUUUCACUGUGACACAGAGCUGGAAAUACUUCAGGACUUGGCACCUUAUGCAAGAAGUCUGAAAACCUGAAUCUCCAUCUUGUGUUCAGACAAAAGUCUCCAGUUUCUCUGUGAGAUCAGGAGGCUAUGGCCACUGCAGAAUUGGGAUGCUCCCAUAGUGCUGUGCUAUUUUAGCUAUCAUGGCUGCUUUAAUUCAUGCUCCGGUGGUUGUUUUUAGGUUUUUAUUUUUUUCCCCAAAACCUUAAACAAAACAAAACAACCGCCCCAAUCUGAUCCAGCACACCUCUGCUUGACCUUUCUGUCUCCACCACGCCAUGCAGCUGGUCCUGCAGUUCAUUUGUGCUUUUUUUGUUGGUGCCACUUUUGCUCUCUUUCAAAAGAGAUGCGGAGAGGCCACAUCAAGCUACAUACACCCACACCCAUGCCAGAAUUGCAGAACCCUACAGCCAAGUCUGCUGCUUUCAGUAAAAGGGGGAGGGCUUUUAGAUACCUCAUAGAAGUGGAUUAAGACUCUAACAGCUUAAAAAGUACACAAAUAUUCAGAAAUAUCUGUGGUGCUCAUGAGUAAUGUUAUUAGCUUGAAGAUUACAGUGCUUAAUGUACAACAGGAUUUGAGGAUUUAAUAGUAAAGAUCCAGAGUAAUGUGGCAGAUGUCUUGCAUUAGAGUACACUUAAGUGUGUAUCAGAGUAGAAAAUAUUUUCUAUUUUAUUACAUUACAUAACAUAAGGGAAAGGUUUAAAAACAAGUUGUAUUAAUAGAUACGCUGCAUUUCUUCCUUAUUUGUGCUGGUGGAUAGCUAAACUUCUGACUUCCUUUGUUUUUGACGGUUACAUCAUGCAUGAUGGGUUUACCAAGAGAAUUAAUAUAAUGCUUCAGCUUAUUUUUCAUUCAAGAUCAUGAUGACGGAGCUCUGUCUGGUAAGCUGGUGAAGGUGCUUAACUUACUCCUCCCUUGCUUCUCUGUUGGCUGCACUGUCUGCUCCUGCAGACUCCAAAUAGAGCAUGAGCCUGCCUUGGGUGAAAGAUCCAUCCUGUCAGAUAAAGUCCCUCAAGGCUGUUCCCCAUAUAGCUCAGCUGCUACUGGCUGGGAAGGAGUGGAAGCAGAGAGCAAAGUAUGGCAGUAUAGACAGAUGUGAUGAUGGGGCAAAACUUUCAUGUAUGAGUAUUGUGCUCCUUUCCUUUUACAAGGCAUGUAGCAACCUUAGCAUGCAGGAGCUGUUAGGUAUAUCUCCUUCAGAGGUA
ensembl:lncRNA